rnacentral:lncRNA from 1 species
AUCCCCAAUGUCCCCAAAGCCCCCAAAUCCAAAUGUCACCCCCACAUCCCCAAUGCCCUCCCUGUCUCAAUGUCCCCAAGUUGCCAUGUCCCUCGUGUCCCCAAAUCCCCGUGUCUUCCUGCCUCCAGUGUCCCCAAUGUCCCCAAAUCCCAAUGUCCCCAAAUCCCAAUGUCACCCCCAUGUCCCCAAUGCCCUUCCAGUCCCUACGUCCCAUUAUGUCUCCAGUGUCCCCAAUGUCCCUCAGUGUCCCCAGUAUCCCCACAUCCCCCAUGUGUCCAAAUCCCAAUGUCCCCAGUGUCCCCAACAUCCCAAUGUCUCACCCAUGCCAGUGUCCUCCAUGUCCCCAAGUCCUACUGUUCCCCCAUGUCCCCAAUGUCCCCAAGUUGCCAUGUCCCUCGUGUCCCCAAAUCCUCGUGUCUUCCUGCCUCUAGUGUCCCCAAUGUCCCCAAAUCCCAGUGUCACCCCACGUCCUCAUUGUCCCCAUGGCCACAUCCCCCAUAUCCCCCCCCACCCCCCCACGUCCCUGCUGUCCCCAAGGGAUGACACCCACAGCCCCUCAGGUUCCACAUGCGCAUUUAUAAUAAUAAUAAUAAUAACAAUAAUAAUAAUAAUAAUAAUUAAUAACAAGGAUAACGAGGCGGAGCCGCCGCCCCGCGCCCACAAUGCACUAAAACUGCACGUGCUGCGGGGACACGGGGGGGGGGGGGAGGGAAAAGGGGGGGACACGGGACAUCGGGGUGAGUGGGGAGGGGACCACAGCCACCACUGAUUGUCACCGCGUGGCCCCGGUGUCACCAUGUCCCCAUCUGUCACCUCUGGGCCACCGUGUCCCUCAUUUCAUAUCCCCAGGCCACCUCUUCAUGCUGUGUCAGCAAAGCCACCUCUCCGUGUCACAUCCGUGUCCCCAAAAGCCACCUGUGUCACAUCCAUGUCCCCAAAGCCACCUCUCCGUGUCACAUCCACGUCCCCAAAGCCACCUCUCCAUGUCACAUCCGUGUCCCCGAAGCCACCUCUCCGUGUCACAUCCUCGUGUCACUCUUCAGCACUGUGUCCCCAUCCCAGUGCCACCUCUGCGCCGUGUCCCACCCUGGUGCCACGUCCCAGUGCCACCUCUGCGCCGUGUCCCCAUGAUGUCACAUCCCAGUGCCACCUCCGUGCCGUGUCCCCAUGAUGUCACAUGUCCCCAUGUCACAUCCCAGUGCCAUCUUUGUGCCACGUCCCCAUGCCAUCUCCGUGCCGUGUCCCCACGAUGUCACAUCCCAGUGCCACCUCCGUGCCACGUCCCCACGAUGUCACAUCCCAGUGCCUUGUCCCCACGAUGUCACAUCCCAGUGCCACCUCAUCCCCGUCUCACAUCCUGGUGCCAUCUCAGCGCUGUCACCUCUCCUUGCCGUGUCCCCACGUCUUGGUGUCACCGCCGCCCCUCGGUGUCCCCGUGCCACAGUGCCAAUGUCACAUCUCCGUGUGUCCCCGUGCCACGUCCCCACGUUGUGUCACAUCCCCGUGGCACACAGCUGUGUGCCGGUGUCACAUCCUGGCGUGCCACGUCCCCGCAGCUGUGUCCCCUUGUGUCACCUCCAUCCCCGUUGUCACAUCCCUUUGUCACCUCCAUCCCCGUGUCACACUCCAUGCCGGUGUCCCCGUGCCACGUCCCGUCCCCAUUCUGUCCCCAUUUAGGAAUGGGGACAGUGGGGAAACUGAGGCACGUGUCACCCUGCUGGGGACGGGGGUGUCCCCUGUCCUGGUGUCACUCAGUGUGGGAGGGGGGAGAGGGCCAGGGGGCAGUAGGACACAGGUACUGGGAUAUACUGGGACAUACUGGGAUGGGACGCACACAAGGACAUGAUGUGCCAGGUGGCAUCAAGACAUACUGGGACAUACUGGGAUGGGAUGGGACACACUGGGACACAUGA